CAAUGCAUGCUUUUACAGUAUGAAAAUUGGUGAUUUAUAAUAACUUAGCAAAUCGCAUAGUGAAAACAGGCGAUAAAUCAUUCAAGUUUCUGACCUAUCAGCUUUCGACGGUAUGGUAUUGGCUUACCGUGGCAGUGACGGUUAACGGGGGAUUAGGGUUCGAUUCCGGAGAGGGAGCCUGAGAAACGGCUACCACAUCUAAGGAAGGCAGCAGGCGCGCAAAUUACCCAAUUCUAACAGUUUGAGAGAGGUAGUAACAAGAAAUAACAAUACAAGGCAGUUAAAAUGCUUUGUAAUUGGAAUGAUAGAAAUUUAAACCCUUUUUAAAGUAUCAAUUGGAGGGCAAGUCUGGUGCCAGCAGCCGCGGUAAUUCCAGCUCCAAUAGCGUAUAUUAAAAUUGUUGCAGUUAAAAAGCUCGUAGUUGAAGUUCUGCUAAAAGUAACCGGUCUGCUUUGAAUAAAAGUGGUAUCUUGGUAUGUAUUUAGCAAUGAUGUCCUUUGAAGUGUUUUUUACUUUAUUGUAAUAAAGCAUAUUCAGGACUUUUACUUUGAGAAAAUUAGAGUGUUUCUAGCAGGCCAACGCUUUGAAUACUGCAGCAUGGAAUAAUAAG
rnacentral:rRNA from 1 species